UGAGGAAGGCGAACAAGGUAACCAGUAAAGAUUGAUCAUGGCUCAAGAAGUCGUAACGAGGUAACCCGGAUAGUUUGGGAUGGUUCAGGAAAUCAUAGCUAAGACCGCAUAAGAGUAGAUGUUGCAUGACAUUUGCUUAAAAGGUGCAAUUGCAUCACUACCAGAUGGACCUGCGUUGUAUUAGCUAGUUGGUGAGGUAACGGCUCACCAAGGCAACGAUACAUAGCCGACCUGAGAGGGUGAUCGGCCACACUGGGACUGAGACACGGCCCAGACUCCUACGGGAGGCAGCAGUAGGGAAUCUUCGGCAAUGGACGGAAGUCUGACCGAGCAACGCCGCGUGAGUGAAGAAGGUUUUCGGAUCGUAAAGCUCUGUUGUAAGAGAAGAACGAGUGUGAGAGUGGAAAGUUCACACUGUGACGGUAUCUUUACCCAGAAAAGGGGACGGGCUAAACUACCGUGCCCAGCCAGCCCGCGGGUAAUAAGGUAAGGUCCCCGAGCGGUUGUCCGGGAUUUUAUUGGGGCGUAAAAGCGAGGCGCAGGGCGGUUAAGAUAAGUCUGAAAGUUAAAGGGCUGUGGCUUAACCCAUAGUACGCUUUGGAAACUGUUUAACUUGAGUGCAAGAGGGGAGAGUGGAAUUCCAUGUGUAGCGGUGAAAUGCGUAGAUAUAUGGAGGAACACCGGUGGCGAAAGCGGCUCUCUGGCUUGUAACUGACGCUGAGGCUCGAAAGCGUGGGGAGCAAACAGGAUUAGAUACCCUGGUAGUCCACGCCGUAAACGAUGAGUGCUAGGUGUUAGACCCUUUCCGGGGUUUAGUGCCGCAGCUAACGCAUUAAGCACUCCGCCUGGGGAGUACGACCGCAAGGUUGAAACUCAAAGGAAUUGACGGGGGCCCGCACAAGCGGUGGAGCAUGUGGUUUAAUUCGAAGCAACGCGAAGAACCUUACCAGGUCUUGACAUCCCUCUGACCGCUCUAGAGAUAGAGCUUUCCUUCGGGACAAAGGUGACAGGUGGGUGCAUGGGUUGUCGUCAGCUUCGUGUCCUGAAAAGGUUAGGGUUAAGUCCCGCAACGAAGCGCAACCCCCUAUUGGUAGGUUGCCAUCAGUCAGUUAGGGCACUCUAGCGAGACUGCCGGUAAUAAACCGGAGGAAGGUGGGGAUGACGUCAAAUCAUCAUGCCCCUUAUGACCUGGGCUACACACGUGCUACAAUGGCUGGUACAACGAGUCGCAAGCCGGUGACGGCAAGCUAAUCUCUUAAAGCCAGUCUCAGUUCGGAUUGUAGGCUGCAACUCGCCUACAUGAAGUCGGAAUCGCUAGUAAUCGCGGAUCAGCACGCCGCGGCAAUACGUUCCCUGGCCUUGUACACACCUCCGUCACUCCAACAAAGUUACCACUUCCUGUUUAUCGUGCUUCAGCCAUUGU
rnacentral:rRNA from 1 species